rnacentral:rRNA from 1 species
GACGAACCGAGCGAACGUUGUUCGGAAUCACUGGGCUUAAAGGGCGCGUAGGCGGGUGCUCAAGUCCGGGGUGAAAUCCUCCAGCUCAACUGGAGAACUGCCUCGGAUACUGGGUGCCUCGAGUGUGGUAGGGGUGUGCGGAACUAUCGGUGGAGCGGUGAAAUGCGUUGAUAUCGAUAGGAACUCCGGUGGCGAAGGCGGCACACUGGACCACAACUGACGCUGAGGAGCGAAAGCGUGGGGAGCGAACAGG